UUAGGUCAUCCUGGCGGUGCAGGAGCCGCCAAGGGCUGGACUGCUCGUCCAUUAAAGACCUACAUGAGCUGAGUUCAGUACGUCGCGAGACAGUACGGUAAUAUCUACUGAGGGUGUUAGUUUCAGAGGGCAAGGUGUUUUUAGUACGAGAGGAACGAAACACCGGCGCCACUAGUUUACUGGUUGUUUAUAGCAUUGCCAGGUAGCCACGCGCUUAGCGGAUAAGACCUGAAAGCAUCUAAGGUCGAAGCCGCACCCGAAACGAGAGACUUAGGGUGGUUGUAGUACACGACUUUGAUAGGGCGGGCGUGUAAGCGAAAAGCUUCGGCGAUUCGCGAGCGCACCGCUACUAAAUCCUAACACAUGCAAGC
rnacentral:rRNA from 1 species